CCUGAGGAGCAGCCUCUAGUUCAGCUCUCAGAGAUGGGGUCCUGGGCUCCUUUCCUGUGGAUCCUCCUGCUCUGGGCUCCAGGAUGCAAUGGGGACAUUGUGCUGACCCAGUCUCCAGCCUCUCUGGCCGUGUCUCCAGGGCAGAGGGCCACCAUCACCUGCAGAGCCAGUGAGAGUGUCAGUUUAUUUGGAAUAAACUUCAUUCACUGGUAUCAGCAGAAACCAGGACAACCUCCUAAACUCCUGAUUUACCAAGCAUCCAAUAAAGACACUGGGGUCCCAGCCAGGUUCAGCGGCAGUGGGUCUGGGACCGAUUUCACCCUCACAAUUAAUCCUGUGGAAGCUGACGAUGCUGCAAAUUAUUACUGUCUGCAGAGUAAGGAUCUUCCUCGGACGUUCGGCCAAGGGACCAAGCUGGAAAUCAAACGAGCUGUGGCUGCACCAUCUGUCUUCAUCUUCCCGCCAUCUGAAGAUCAGGUGAAAUCUGGAACUGUCUCUGUUGUGUGCCUGCUGAAUAACUUCUAUCCCAGAGAGGCCAGCGUAAAGUGGAAGCUGGAUGGUGCCCUCCAAUCGGGUAACUCCCAGGAGAGUGUCACAGAGCAGGACAGCAAGGACAACACCUACAGCCUGAGUAGCACCCUGACGCUGAGCAGCACAGACUACCAGAGUCACAAAGUCUAUGCCUGCGAAGUCACCCAUCAGGGCCUGAGCUCGCCCGUCACCAAGAGCUUCAACAGAGGAGAGUGUUAGAGGGAGAAGUGCCCCGGGCCCCCCACUUGCUCCUUAGCCCCAGCCUCACCCCCUCCCAUCCUUUGGCCUCUGGCCCUUUUCCCACAGGGGAGCUACCCCUAUUUCGGUCCUCGAGCUCAUCUUUCACCUCAUCCUCCUCCUCCUCCUUGGCUUUAAUUAUGCUAAUAUUGGAGGAGAAUUAAUAAAUAAAGUGAAUCUUUGCACCUGU